GGAGCGGUUGGGCAUUUGGUUAAGCCCAGCGGACUUAUAAUCCGCUGUUCCCCUGACCGGGACUUGAGGGUUCAACUCCCUCCCGCUCCG
rnacentral:tRNA from 1 species